AAAAUUCUUAAAAACUAAAACUAACUCACCAUCACCCUCACCCAAAAUCCCUAAUUUUAAUCUCCCAAAAUCCCAAACGUUCUAGUGUCGAUAGCCCAACACCCUCGCCAGUCACAACCGUCCGGUGUCCACUAGAUCAAGUACGGGUUACUUCGACCACGGGUCAGUGAGUGCGCGGCACAUUUGCACUUCAAUUAUAUCGAUGAGCACAAGGCGCAACUUAUUUACUUCGAAAUUGUUCGAUGAGGCACUGGGUGUCAAAUUGGUGUGUUGGUUGGAUAUUGAUGUGUUGGCUGGAUUUGCGUAUUCGUUUGAGUCUGAGUCAGGUUAAUAGGGGUAUAAAAUGUGAUAUUUGAUAAAUGAUAUAUAAAUUGGAUUAAUAAUGUGACUUGGUAAUACAAAACUGAUUUACUAUAUAUGAAUAUUGAUAGUAUGUGAAAGAUUAUGCGAAUAUAUAUACGAGCCCGAAUGGCCGAUAUGGAAAUGUGGCAAAUCUAUAAAUUCUAUUCAAAAUUGAACAAUGAAUCGAAAUAAUGAUUGUCAUUAAAUUGAAAUUGGAUGUAUUGUUGAUAAAUAGAUGAAAUGGUAUGAAUUUGUUAUUAAAUUGAUUAAA